ACCCUAUGCAUAUUCAAGUAACCACAAUAAAAGGAGUGCUAUGGGGAACCUGGCUGAGAGUCUGAUGGAGGUCAAGUAGGUGGAACGACACUUGGCUCCAGGCAGGCCUCCCCCAUGCAUGAGUAACACAAAG